CAGCCGCCACGGGAAUACGUAGGGUGCGAGCGUUAAUCGGAAUUACUGGGCGUAAAGGGCUCGCAGGCGGUUUCUUAAGUCUGAUGUGAAAGCCCCCGGCUCAACCGGGGAGGGUCAUUGGAAACUGGGAAACUUGAGUGCAGAAGAGGAGAGUGGAAUUCCACGUGUAGCGGUGAAAUGCGUAGAGAUGUGGAGGAACACCAGUGGCGAAGGCGACUCUCUGGUCUGUAACUGACGCUGAGGAGCGAAAGCGUGGGGAGCGAACAGGAUUAGAUACCCCUGUAGUCCCUGUCUCUUAUAA
rnacentral:rRNA from 1 species